rnacentral:rRNA from 1 species
UAAGUACCCCGAGGAAAAGAAAUCAACCGAGAUUCCCCCAGUAGCGGCGAGCGAACGGGGAGGAGCCCAGAGCCUGAAUCAGCAUGUGUGUUAGUGGAAGCGUCUGGAAAGGCGCGCGAUACAGGGUGACAGCCCCGUACACAAAAGCGCAUGUGCUGUGAGCUCGAUGAGUAGGGCGGGACACGUGGUAUCCUGUCUGAAUAUGGGGGGACCAUCCUCCAAGGCUAAAUACUCCUGACUGACCGAUAGUGAACCAGUACCGUGAGGGAAAGGCGAAAAGAACCCCGGCGAGGGGAGUGAAAAAGAACCUGAAACCGUGUACGUACAAGCAGUGGGAGCACAGGUUUACCUGUGUGACUGCGUACCUUUUGUAUAAUGGGUCAGCGACUUAUAUUCUGUAGCAAGGUUAACCGUAUAGGGGAGCCGUAGGGAAACCGAGUCUUAACCGGGCGUUAAGUUGCAGGGUAUAGACCCGAAACCCGGUGAUCUAGCCAUGGGCAGGUUGAAGGUUGGGUAACACUAACUGGAGGACCGAACCGACUAAUGUUGAAAAAUUAGCGGAUGACCUGUGGCUGGGGGUGAAAGGCCAAUCAAACCGGGAGAUAGCUGGUUCUCCCCGAAAGCUAUUUAGGUAGCGCCUCGUGAAUUCAUCUCCGGGGGUAGAGCACUGUUUCGGCUAGGGGGCCAUCCCGGCUUACCAACCCGAUGCAAACUGCGAAUACCGGAGAAUGUUAUCACGGGAGACACACGGCGGGUGCUAACGUCCGUCGUGAAGAGGGAAACAACCCAGACCGCCAGCUAAGGUCCCAAAGUCAUGGUUAAGUGGGAAACGAUGUGGGAAGGCCCAGACAGCCAGGAUGUUGGCUUAGAAGCAGCCAUCAUUUAAAGAAAGCGUAAUAGCUCACUGGUCGAGUCGGCCUGCGCGGAAGAUGUAACGGGGCUAAACCAUGCACCGAAGCUGCGGCAGCGACGCUGAUGCGUUGUUGGGUAGGGGAGCGUUCUGUAAGCCUGUGAAGGUGGCCUGUGAGGGUUGCUGGAGGUAUCAGAAGUGCGAAUGCUGACAUAAGUAACGAUAAAGCGGGUGAAAAGCCCGCUCGCCGGAAGACCAAGGGUUCCUGUCCAACGUUAAUCGGGGCAGGGUGAGUCGACCCCUAAGGCGAGGCCGAAAGGCGUAGUCGAUGGGAAACGGGUUAAUAUUCCCGUACUUGGUGUUACUGCGAAGGGGGGACGGAGAAGGCUAUGUUGGCCGGGCGACGGUUGUCCCGGUUUAAGCGUGUAGGUGUGUGUUCCAGGUAAAUCCGGUUCACUUUAACACUGAGGCGUGAUGACGAGGCACUACGGUGCUGAAGCAACAAAUGCCCUGCUUCCAGGAAAAGCCUCUAAGCAUCAGGUAACAUCAAAUCGUACCCCAAACCGACACAGGUGGUCAGGUAGAGAAUACCAAGGCGCUUGAGAGAACUCGGGUGAAGGAACUAGGCAAAAUGGUGCCGUAACUUCGGGAGAAGGCACGCUGACACGUAGGUGAAGUGAUUUACUCAUGGAGCUGAAGUCAGUCGAAGAUACCAGCUGGCUGCAACUGUUUAUUAAAAACACAGCACUGUGCAAACACGAAAGUGGACGUAUACGGUGUGACGCCUGCCCGGUGCCGGAAGGUUAAUUGAUGGGGUCAGCGCAAGCGAAGCUCCUGAUCGAAGCCCCGGUAAACGGCGGCCGUAACUAUAACGGUCCUAAGGUAGCGAAAUUCCUUGUCGGGUAAGUUCCGACCUGCACGAAUGGCGUAAUGAUGGCCAGGCUGUCUCCACCCGAGACUCAGUGAAAUUGAACUCGCUGUGAAGAUGCAGUGUACCCGCGGCAAGACGGAAAGACCCCGUGAACCUUUACUAUAGCUUGACACUGAACAUUGAGCCUUGAUGUGUAGGAUAGGUGGGAGGCUUUGAAGCGUGGACGCCAGUCUGCAUGGAGCCGGCCUUGAAAUACCACCCUUUAAUGUUUGAUGUUCUAACGUGGACCCGUGAUCCGGGUUGCGGACAGUGUCUGGUGGGUAGUUUGACUGGGGCGGUCUCCUCCUAAAGAGUAACGGAGGAGCACGAAGGUUGGCUAAUCCUGGUCGGACAUCAGGAGGUUAGUGCAAUGGCAUAAGCCAGCUUGACUGCGAGCGUGACGGCGCGAGCAGGUGCGAAAGCAGGUCAUAGUGAUCCGGUGGUUCUGAAUGGAAGGGCCAUCGCUCAACGGAUAAAAGGUACUCCGGGGAUAACAGGCUGAUACCGCCCAAGAGUUCAUAUCGACGGCGGUGUUUGGCACCUCGAUGUCGGCUCAUCACAUCCUGGGGCUGAAGUAGGUCCCAAGGGUAUGGCUGUUCGCCAUUUAAAGUGGUACGCGAGCUGGGUUUAGAACGUCGUGAGACAGUUCGGUCCCUAUCUGCCGUGGGCGCUGGAGAACUGAGGGGGGCUGCUCCUAGUACGAGAGGACCGGAGUGGACGCAUCACUGGUGUUCGGGUUGUCAUGCCAAUGGCACUGCCCGGUAGCUAAAUGCGGAAGAGAUAAGUGCUGAAAGCAUCUAAGCACGAAACUUGCCCCGAGAUGAGUUCUCCCUGAGACUUAGAGUCUCCUGAAGGAACGUUGAAGACGACGACGUUGAUAGGCCGGGUGUGUAAGCGCAGCGAUGCGUUGAGCUAACCGGUACUAAUGAACCGUGAGGCUUAACCUUACAACGCCGAAG